CCUUUAUGGUGAGGACUAAAAAAAACGACACUGCUCUUUACCACUCUUUCCCCAAAAAACAACGAGCAACCUCCAAUACUCUCUCCACUUCUCAGUCUCCACUGCGCAUUACUCCGGUGACAGGGCGACGUGAUUCACUACCAUGGAACACCAUAAAUCUAUGCAAGAAAACUCAAUCAAAAAAAACAACCAAAAUAGACUACCCACCAUAGUUGCUGCCUAUCAAGCUGUUGCUUUCACAUCAAUUGGUUCUUGAGUUCUUCACUCGGAUUUCAUCGGAAUUGAUAGAUAAAGAAGGGCGCUCCUACUAUCGUUGAAGUUGAAGUUUGGCAGAAGCUCCUGUUCCUGACCAAGUGAAGAAUUCAGAGGUUGCUAACAUUGCAAAAGAUGAUAUAGAGGCUCAAUUUGCAUUGUCCAUAGAUCCAUCAUUGGAGAUUGGAGAUCACUGACUUGAUGAUCAACAUUAUAAAGCACGUCCUGGCACCAAACAUGUAAAGCUGAGUGUUCGGGAGAAGGAACAUAUGCUACAGAAGUACCAAUUGGAGGAUCACUAGGUUCAGGUUAUUCCUGGUACGGACUCGGAGAUGAUUGAGUACUUUCUUGAUACUGAGGCUCAGGAGAUUGAGUAUGAAAUUGCUAGGUUGAGGCCAAGGCUGAUCCCAAUGGAGAUGUUCGUGGGAGAAUGAUCAAUGCUGGCAUUAUUCAAAGAGUUCUAUGAUUUGGAAGCAGAAUCGUUCAAUCGAAUCUAAGCCUCCAGUUAAGAAGCAAAAACGUCAGAAAGACGAAGAUACAGAAAAAUCAAAGCCAAAAGCAAAGCAAAAAAAGGGAGAGGCUACUGGUAAUUUCUUUCUUAUACCCCAGGCUUUGCGAAGUUCCUUGGUACUGGAGAAACUACGCUAAGUAGGUCAGAUGCUGUCAAGAGGAUUUGGUAUUAUAUAAAGCAGAAUCAGCUCCAGGUUUUCACAACUCCAAGGGAGGGGCCCUUUACCAAAGAGGAGUUGAAUGAAGUUCGAGACAAGUGGGCUACUUACUUAAACGAUUGUGAACUACCCUCAGUGUAAUAAGUAGAGCAGACUUGUAGUUAUCCGUGACUCUUACAUUAUUUUGUUAUUUAUCGAUUUAAUUAAUUACAUUUGAAUUAAUUCGGUAAUAUUAUUGGAAAUUUGAAAUUUAUAUCA